rnacentral:rRNA from 1 species
CCAAGGAGUCUAGCAUGUGCGCGAGUCAUUGGGACAUUGAUAAACCUAAAGGCGCAAUGAAAGUGAAGGUCCGCCUCGCGCGGACCGAGGGAGGAUGGGCCCGUCCACGGGCGGGCCCCGCACUCCCGGGGCGUCUCGUUCUCAUCGCGAGAAGAGGCGCACCCAGAGCGUACACGCUGGGACCCGAAAGAUGGUGAACUAUGCCUGGUCAGGACGAAGUCAGGGGAAACCCUGAUGGAGGUCCGUAGCGAUUCUGACGUGCAAAUCGAUCGUCGGAACUGGGUAUAGGGGCGAAAGACUAAUCGAAC